GGCUCUCAGGCAGAGGCUCCACAAGAAGUGGAGUGCUGCGGCAGCUCUCCCCCGUGUUGUAAGCGCUGGUGCUAUCUUUGUCUGAUUUCUCUGGCAGUUCAGAGAUAUCAGACAGCUCAUGCUUUUUGGGCUCACUGGCUGCCAGGUCAUAGAGACUUUCCUCCUCCAGCAGCCAGGCCUUCAUACAGCGCUCCCGCAACUGCUGCAUCUUCUGUGCCCGCAAGAUAUUGCGGCACUUGAACUCUAGGUGCCGAAGCUCUUCCUCCAGCAUGGCCAUCUCAUGGCCUAGGCUCUCAUUGCGGUUGACAUCUAGGGCACUGUUGCCACUGGAGGCCCGGGAGAAGAAGAUGCCCAGCUGGUUGCCAUUUUCCAGGUGGCACUUGAUCUCCAGCAGCUCCCGGUAGCGUUCAUACUCCUCAUCAGUGAGCCCAGCUGCAUGGAGGUAUUGGUUAAAUCCAGAAGAAGGUAUUAGAUCCUCUGGAACUGGAGUUAGAGGUGGUUGUGAGACAUCUAUGUGAUUUCUGGGAACUGAACUUGGGUCCUUUGAAGAAGCAGUAAGAAUCAUCCUCCUAAAACACUUCCCACAUGCAUACUCCCCUUUAAAACAGUUUCACUAUGUAGCUCUAAUGAACCGCAAGCUCCU
ensembl:processed_transcript Gm14817 predicted gene 14817